UCCCUAGUGGUCCAGUGACUAGGACUCUGGCUUCCCAAUGCAGGGGCCCAGGUUUGAUCCCUGGUCAGGGAA
rnacentral:tRNA from 1 species